UACGAAGGGGGCUAGCGUUGCUCGGAAUCACUGGGCGUAAAGCGCACGUAGGCGGAUUGCUAAGUCAGGGGUGAAAUCCUGGAGCUCAACUCCAGAACUGCCUUUGAUACUGGCGACCUUGAGUCCGGGAGAGGUGAGUGGAACUGCGAGUGUAGAGGUGAAAUUCGUAGAUAUUCGCAAGAACACCCGUGGCGAAGGCGGUUCUCUGGGACGGUACUGACGCUGAGACGCGAAAGCGUGGGGAGCGAACGGG
rnacentral:rRNA from 1 species